CAGGUCCACCAGCAUUACAAGCUAGGACGCGGAACCUGUAUUCUGCACCCUGAGAAUCAGAGGUGGGGAGAGUGGUGGAAGGGCCUGUGGACUUACGGAUGCUGCUGCGACACUCUAUGACCUCAGACUGCAAGUAAGAGCCAAUCCCGAAGCGGUUUGUUGCAGCCACACGGAACACAUACUCAUUUCCUUCGAUGAUAGCCAAUGACUCUACUUCCUCCAUCACUGAUUGGCUCAUUCCAUUGUACUUCCAUGCUGUCCCUGGAGGACAGUGUGACAACUGGAGUGCCAGGAGGACCAGGAACUUUGAAUGGAUAUUGGGCUACAGUAGGCUCUGAAUUGAGAUGCUGGAGGACCCGGUUUAUCUGAAGGAAUAAGGAAGAAGAGUGAAUAUGUGGAAUGGGGAAUGAGUAUAGAGUAGAGGUCUGGAGACCUG
ensembl:lncRNA TTN-AS1 TTN antisense RNA 1